AGGGUGAGUAACGCGUGGGUAAGCUAUCUUAAAGUUUUGGGACAACCCGCCGAAAGGCGGGCUAAUACCGAAUGUGGUCGCUGGAUGCAUAUCCGGAUGAUUAAAGGUGGGGCUCCUUUUGGACCUGCCGCUUUUAGAGGUGCCCGCGUGCCAUCAGCUAGUUGGUAGGGUAACGGCCUACCAAGGCUUACGGCUAGCCGGCCUGAGAGGGUGACCGGCCACACUGGGACUGAGACACUGCCCAGACUCCUACGGGAGGCUGCAGUCGAGGAUCAUUCGCAAUGCGCGAAAGCGUGACGAUGCGACGCUGCGUGGAGGAUGAAGGCCUUCGGGUCGUAAACUCCUGUCAUGAGGGAACAGCCAUCUUACCCCGAAUACGGGUAGGAUCCGAUGGUACCUCAAGAGGAAGCCACGGCUAACUCUGUGCCAGCAGCCGCGGUAAUACAGAGGUGGCGAGCGUUGUUCGGAUUUACUGGGCGUAAAGGGUGCGUAGGUGGUUUCGUAUGUCGGAUGUGAAAGCCCAUGGCUCAACCGUGGAAUUGCAUUCGAAACUGCUGAACUAGAGUGCAGGAUGGGAGAGCGGAAUUCUUGGUGUAGCGGUGAAAUGCGUUGAUAUCAAGAAGAACACCGGUGGCGAAGGCGGCUCUCUGGAAUGUCACUGACACUGAGGCACGAAAGCUGGGGGAGCAAACAGGAUUAGAUACCCUGGUAGUCCCAGCCGUAAACGGUGCACACUUGGUGUGGGGAGAUUUAACCCUCUCCGUGCCGGAGCUAACGCGUUAAGUGUGCCGCCUGGGGAGUACGGCCGCAAGGCUAAAACUCAAAGAAAUUGACGGGGGCCCGCACAAGCGGAGGAGCAUGUGGCUUAAUUCGAUGCAACGCGAAGAACCUUACCAGGGCUUGACAUAUACCUGCACGCCCCUCGAAAGGGGGGAAGCCUUUGAGGGUGGUAUACAGGUGCUGCAUGGCUGUCGUCAGUUCGUGCUGUGAGGUGUUGGGUUAAGUCCCGUAACGAACGCAACCCUUGUGGUUAGUUGCCACCGGCGGUGAUGAGCCGCCGAGCACUCUAGCCAGACUGCCCGUACAAGCGGGAGGAAGGUGGGGAUGACGUCAAGUCAGUAUGGCCCUUACGCCCUGGGCUGCACACGUGCUACAAUGGACGGAACAAUGGGAUGCAAUACCGCGAGGUGGAGCGAAUCCUGAAAGCCGUCCUCAGUUCGGAUUGAAGUCUGCAACUCGACUUCAUGAAGUUGGAUUCGCUAGUAACGGCGCAUCAGCUACGGCGCCGUGAAUACGUUCCCGGGCCUUGUACACACCGCCCGUCACAUCAUGAAAGCCGUCUGCACCCGAAGUCGCUGAUCUAACCCGCAAGGGAGGAAGGCGCCGAAGGUGUGGGUGGUGAUUGGGAUGAAGUCGGAACAAGGUA
rnacentral:rRNA from 1 species